GGUUGCGAUCAUACCAACACUAAUGCACCGGAUCCCAUCAGAACUCCGCAGUUAAGCGUGCUUGGGCGAGAGUAGUACUAGGAUGCGUGACCCCCUGGGAAGUCCUCGUGUUGCAACCCC
rnacentral:rRNA from 1 species